rnacentral:rRNA from 1 species
GGACUACAGGGGUUUCUAAUCCUGUUUGCUCCCCACGCUUUCGCACCUCAGCGUCAGUAUCGAGCCAGUGAGCCGCCUUCGCCACUGGUGUUCUUGCGAAUAUCUACGAAUUUCACCUCUACACUCGCAGUUCCACUCACCUCUCUCGAACUCAAGAUCGCCAGUAUCAAGGGCAGUUCUGGAGUUGAGCUCCAGGAUUUCACCCCUGACUUAACGACCCGCCUACGUGCGCUUUACGCCCAGUGAUUCCGAGCAACGCUAGCCCCCUUCGUAUUACCGCGGCUGCUGGCAC